GACGAACGCUGGCGGCGUGCUUUACACAUGCAAGUCGAACGGUGAAGGUGGAGCUUGCUCCGCCGGAUCAGUGGCGAACGGGUGAGUAACACGUGGGCAACCUGCCCCUAACUUUGGGAUAACUACUCGAAAGAGUAGCUAAUACCGGAUAUGAAGUCUGUAGGCAUCUAUGGAUUUGGAAAGUUUUUCGGUUAGGGAUGGGCCCGCGGCCUAUCAGCUUGUUGGUGAGGUAGUGGCUCACCAAGGCGACGACGGGUAGCCGGCCUGGGAGGGCGACCGGCCGCACUGGGACUGAGACACGGCCCAGACUCCUACGGGAGGCAGCAGUGGGGAAUAUUGCGCAAUGGGCGAAAGCCUGACGCAGCAACGCCGCGUGCGGGAUGAAGGCCUUCGGGUUGUAAACCGCUUUCAGCAGGGAAGAAGCGAAAGUGACGGUACCUGCAGAAGAAGCACCGGCUAACUACGUGCCAGCAGCCGCCGCGG
rnacentral:rRNA from 1 species